UACAACAUAGUGUUAUUUCACCAGAUCCCAUGAUACUCUACAAUUAAAUGUGCUCGAGCUAGAGUAGUACCAGGAUGGGUGAUUGUUUGGGAAGCCCUAGUGUUUUAC
rnacentral:rRNA from 1 species